rnacentral:rRNA from 1 species
CCUACGGGUGGCAGCAGUGGGGAAUAUUGCACAAUGGGGGAAACCCUGAUGCAGCGACGCCGCGUGAGUGAGGAAGUAUUUCGGUAUGGAAAGCUCUAUCAGCAGGGAAGAAAAUGACGGUACCUGACUAAGAAGCCCCGGCUAACUACGUGCCAGCAGCCGCUGUAAUACGUAGGGGGCAAGCGUUAUCCGGAUUUAAUGGGUGUAAAGGGAGCGUAGACGGCUAAUCAAGUCAGAAGUGAAAACCCAGGGCUCAACUUUGGGACUGCCUUUGAAACUGGGGAGCUAGAGUGCAGGAGAGGUAAGCGGAAUUCCUAGUGUAGCGGUGAAAUGCGUAGAUAUUAGGCGGAACACCAGUGGCGAAGGCGGCAUACCGG